rnacentral:piRNA from 6 species
CGGGAGGCCCGGGUUCGAUUCCCGG